rnacentral:rRNA from 1 species
CCUACGGGUGGCAGCAGUGGGGAAUAUUGCACAAUGGGGGAAACCCUGAUGCAGCGACGCCGCGUGAGUGAAGAAGUAUUUCGGUACGUAAAGCUCUAUCAGCAGGGAAGAAAAUGACGGUACCUGACUAAGAAGCCCCGGCUAACUACGUGCCAGCAGCCCCGGUAAUACGUAGGGGGCAAGCUUUAUCCGGAUUUACGGGGGGGAAAGGGAGCGUAGACGGCAGCGCAAGUCUGGAGUGAAAUCCCAGGGCUUAACCAUGGAACUGCUUGGGAAACUGGGCAGCUAGAGUGCAGGAGAGGUAAGCGGAAUUCCUAGUGUAGCGGUGAAAUGCGUAGAUAUUAGGAGGAACACCAGUUGCGAAGGCGGCUUACUGGACUGUAACUGACGUUGAGGCUCGAAAGCGUGGGGAGCAAACAGGAUUAGAUACCCUUGUAGUC